GACGAACCGUGCGAACGUUAUUCGGAAUCACUGGGCUUAAAGGGCGCGUAGGCGGGCUGCCGCGUCCGGGGUGAAAUCCCACGGCUCAACCGUGGAACGGCCCCGGGUACGGGCGGCCUCGAGGGGGGUAGGGGCGUGCGGAACUGUGGGUGGAGCGGUGAAAUGCGUUGAUAUCCACAGGAACUCCGGUGGCGAAGGCGGCACGCUGGACCCCUUCUGACGCUGAGGCGCGAAAGCCAGGGGAGCGAACGGG
rnacentral:rRNA from 1 species